rnacentral:rRNA from 2 species
AUGGCUCAGGAUGAACGCUGGCGGCGUGCCUAAUACAUGCAAGUCGAGCGAAUGGAUUGAGAGCUUGCUCUCAAGAAGUUAGCGGCGGACGGGUGAGUAACACGUGGGUAACCUGCCCAUAAGACUGGGAUAACUCCGGGAAACCGGGGCUAAUACCGGAUAACAUUUUGAACCGCAUGGUUCGAAAUUGAAAGGCGGCUUCGGCUGUCACUUAUGGAUGGACCCGCGUCGCAUUAGCUAGUUGGUGAGGUAACGGCUCACCAAGGCAACGAUGCGUAGCCGACCUGAGAGGGUGAUCGGCCACACUGGGACUGAGACACGGCCCAGACUCCUACGGGAGGCAGCAGUAGGGAAUCUUCCGCAAUGGACGAAAGUCUGACGGAGCAACGCCGCGUGAGUGAUGAAGGCUUUCGGGUCGUAAAACUCUGUUGUUAGGGAAGAACAAGUGCUAGUUGAAUAAGCUGGCACCUGACGUA